GCACUAUAUAAAGCCCGCUGACUCGGAAGUGAUCUAAUGAGUGUGUCGCUGUUGGGUGAGUGAGUGAGAGAGAGUGUGCGCGCGAUUGUGUGCUUGUUGUAUGUUUGUUGUAUGUUUGUUGUGAGUUUGUUGAAUGAUUGUGUUUUGUUUAUGUUACUAUAUAAAUCUACACCGUGAUCUUAUUUGAUCUGGUCCGUGUUAGCUCUGCGCGGAUACAGAGAUGAUAAUAACCGAGCCGUGAGUCCGCUGUGACGCUGAGCGCGGAGCUUUUAUAUCCACAGAGCGUCCACACUACAGCUGUGGUCAGAAAUGAUGAAUCGAUCAGAUAUACUAGCACUGCUGGGAUUUGUCCCUCUGUGGUCUAUGAGUAUACCGGCGAUUCUGAUCUAU